AUUGAACGCUGGCGGCAGGCUUAACACAUGCAAGUCGAGCGGGGUGAUGGUGCUUGCACUAUCACUUAGCGGCGGACGGGUGAGUAAUGCUUAGGAAUCUGCCUAUUAGUGGGGGACAACAUCUCGAAAGGGAUGCUAAUACCGCAUACGUCCUACGGGAGAAAGCAGGGGAUCACUUGUGACCUUGCGCUAAUAGAUGAGCCUAAGUCGGAGUAGCUAGUUGGUGGGGUAAAGGCCUACCAAGGCGACGAUCUGUAGCGGGUCUGAGAGGAUGAUCCGCCACACUGGGACUGGGACACGGCCCAGACUCCUACGGGAGGCAGCAGUGGGGAAUAUUGGACAAUGGGGGGAACCCUGAUCCAGCCAUGCCGCGUGUGUGAAGAAGGCCUUAUGGUUGUAAAGCACUUUAAGCGAGGAGGAGGCUAACCUAGUUAAUACCUGGGAUUAGUGGACGUUACUCGCAGAAUAAGCACCGGCUAACUCUGUGCCAGCCGCCGCAGUAA
rnacentral:rRNA from 1 species